GCUGGGAUGGCAGAGUGGUCAAAUGCACGGGUCUGUAAAAUCCGCGGCCGGAAGGCCUACCUAGGUUCGAAUCCUAGUCCCAGCACCA
rnacentral:tRNA from 3 species